rnacentral:rRNA from 1 species
AGCUUGCUUCUUUGCUGACGAGUGGCGGACGGGUGAGUAAUGUCUGGGAAACUGCCUGAUGGAGGGGGAUAACUACUGGAAACGGUAGCUAAUACCGCAUAACGUCGCAAGACCAAAGAGGGGGACCUUCGGGCCUCUUGCCAUCGGAUGUGCCCAGAUGGGAUUAGCUAGUAGGUGGGGUAACGGCUCACCUAGGCGACGAUCCCUAGCUGGUCUGAGAGGAUGACCAGCCACACUGGAACUGAGACACGGUCCAGACUCCUACGGGAGGCAGCAGUGGGGAAUAUUGCACAAUGGGCGCAAGCCUGAUGCAGCCAUGCCGCGUGUAUGAAGAAGGCCUUCGGGUUGUAAAGUACUUUCAGCGGGGAGGAAGGGAGUAAAGUUAAUACCUUUGCUCAUUGACGUUACCCGCAGAAGAAGCACCGGCUAACUCCGUGCCAGCAGCCGCGGUAAUACGGAGGGUGCAAGCGUUAAUCGGAAUUACUGGGCGUAAAGCGCACGCAGGCGGUUUGUUAAGUCAGAUGUGAAAUCCCCGGGCUCAACCUGGGAACUGCAUCUGAUACUGGCAAGCUUGAGUCUCGUAGAGGGGGGUAGAAUUCCAGGUGUAGCGGUGAAAUGCGUAGAGAUCUGGAGGAAUACCGGUGGCGAAGGCGGCCCCCUGACGAAGACUGACGCUCAG